rnacentral:lncRNA from 1 species
CCCAUUAAGGUGCAUGAUAAUGAGUCCAAUGAUCUAAAUAAGCAUUGAGGUGCCAUAUGCUUGGUGUCUAUUGGGUAUUAAAAUUAUCAUUCAUCAUAUGACCAUCUUGUUGUGCCCCUCAGAUCAAUGCUCAGAUUGGUCGAGCCACACUCAGACCUGGACAAUCGUUUGUUGGAUGCGCUUGAUGUAGUCAUGUUAAUGAUUGGACCUAACCAAAAUUUUUAGUGGAGAUGCCACAUGCCUGCUAAAGAGAGGCUUGGGACAAAACAUAAUUGCUAGAAGUUAUUUAGAAAAAUAAUUAGUUAUGAACCUACCCAUGGAUGCACUA